UACGAAGGGUGCAAGCGUUACUCGGAAUUACUGGGCGUAAAGCGUGCGUAGGCGGUUUUGUCGCGUCUGCCGUGAAAAGUCCGGGGGCUCAACUCCGGAUCUGCGGUGGGUACGGGGCAGACUAGAGUGAUGUAGGGGGAGACUGGAAUUCCUGGUGUAGCGGUGAAAAUGCGCAGAUAUCAGGAGGAACACCGAUGGCGAAGGCAGGUCUCUGGGCAUUAACUGACGCUGAGGAGCGAAAAGCAUGGGGGAGCGAACAGG
rnacentral:rRNA from 1 species